rnacentral:rRNA from 1 species
AUGGACCUAUUUGAGGAGUUCUUCAUAGGGGCCAUUGACCUCAUCAGGUUGAACUUUGGGAUAAUCACCCUAAUCCCAAAAGUAACCGGGGCUUCGGAUAUCUAAUAGUUUCGGCCGAUUAUGGUGAUUAAUUUCAUCUUUCGCAUCCUUCCAAAGUACGCCGUUAGGGUGUCCCGCAUUGCUGAUCGGAUCACUCACCCAGAUCAGUCGGCAUUUAUCCAAGGCCGGUAUAUCCUUGACGGAGUUCUAGUCUUCCACGAAGCACUCCAUGAGGUUCACACCAAACAUCUCAAGGCAGUCUUCCUGAAUCUGGAUUUCCACUCGGCGUAUAACAUAGUCAGUUGGCCCUUCAUUUGGGAAUGCCAGCUGCGGAAAGGCUUCGACGAUAGAUGGGUAUCUCGGGUAAUGCAAAUGGUCUCCUUGGGCUGGACCACGGUGAACAUUAAUGGUGAGGUUGGCCCUUUUUUCCCCACAUUCCGUGGGGUGCGCCAGGGCGAUCCCUUCUCACUGUUCCUCUUCAACAUGGUGGUUGAUGCUCUGGCCGCUGAGGGAGUCCUGGAUUAUGGGGUCCUCGGAUGGUCGGGCUAUGCGGCAUGUGCCGAAUUGAUAGGCCGUGAGAUACAAGAUCGAGGACCUUCCCCCGUGUCCAGAUGGGACUCUCCUUGGCAUGGUAGGCAAGCUUGGCACUCGGAUAUGAAGGUUCCUUUCUCUGUAAACCGACUUUGUACAACCCUAGGCCUCUCCGAUGUCUAUAUAAACUGGAGGGUUUAUUCCGUAGAGGUAAUCAUAAUCAUAGAGGCUAGACAUCUAGGGUUUAGCCAUUACGAUCUCGAGAUAGGUCAACUCUUGUAA